GGGGGGGGGCCACUUCAAACUUUUUUUGGUAGGGGUGAGCAGCUGAGACAUCAAGUACCCCACCCUUUUCAUAUAUUUUGUUUAUCAAAAAUAUAUACCUUGUCAUAUAUUAAUGAACAAAAAACAGACCUAUAGAUAUAUUUUGAUAUUUUUCAUCUUCUUGGACAUUAGUAUAUGCAUAAAUUUUGAGGUCCCACUCAUUUCACGUUCUUGUUAGAAGCAACGCAGUCGCAAUAAUCAC
rnacentral:lncRNA from 1 species